CAUUAGCAGCAUUAGUGGUCAUUUUAGGUGCUAUUAUCGCUUUAUAUUUUAUCUGUCAAAAUCGUCGACGCAAAUCAUCAAGCACCGAAGCAAAUGUGGAGAAGACCAAUGAAGUAAGUAAUCCACAAUAUUUUUAUGAUGAUAUCGGCAAUUAUGAACAAGUAGACGAUGAACACUCGACGUAUACAGCUCUCAAUAAACCUGGGGAAGUAACUGAUGAUCAUUCAUAUGCUCAUUUAAAUGAGGUAACACAAAAUAUGUACACAGAUCAGAAGGAAACUGGAUUCUAAUGUCUUAUCACUGCAUAGUUAAUCAAGAUAUGGUCUGCCGUAAAUUUCAAAG